rnacentral:rRNA from 1 species
UAGGUUCUGUAAUUAAAGUUAUAUAUUGUAAAAUUUAAAAGAAUAGAAAAGAAUAAGUGUUUAGUAUAUUACUUGGAUAAAAUUAGGUUAAGGAACUGUGAAGGCAACGUGAAAUAAAUGAAAAUAUGUAAAUUAAAAGUAGGUUUAAUUACUGUACCUUUUGUAUCAGGGUAUACCAAAUAGUUUAAAAUAUUUAAUUUUCCCGAAAUAAAGUGAGCGAAUAUUAAAUGAAAUUAUUGUGGCAAAUAUAUUAAUUAUUUAAUUUUGGCUAUGAGAUAUAAGUCGGACUUUAUGAUAUCUGGUUUCUUGAGAAAUGAAUUUAAUUCAGGGCCCCCAAAAAGUUGACACCUAUUAUUUGGCUUUUAUUGGUGGGCUCUAAAUAUGUAAGGGAUAAGCUUUACAUACUCCUAUAACAAUUUAUUAUAAUUAAAAUGUAGGCUUAGAAAUAGCUUCCUUGAAAGUGUUAUAAUUUAUUAAUAUAAUAUAUAAUUUUUAUUUAUUUAGGUUAGUAUUAAGAAAUGGUCUUUAAUAUAAUAAGACUAAAUAAAAUGAUAUAAUUAUUAUAAAAGGAUGUAUAUUAUAACUAUUAUAUAAGGUCUUUGGAAGGAACUCGGCAAAAACUUUACCCGCCUGUUUACCAAAAACAUCGCCUUUUGCAUUGAAUAAUAGGUCUGGCCUGCCCACUGAUUUUGAAGGGCCGCGGUAUUUUGACCGUGCAAAGGUAGCAUAAUCAUUAGUCUUUUAAUUGAAGGCUGGAAUGAAUGGUUGGACGAGGUAAAAGCUGUCUCCCAAAGAUUAAAUAGAAUUUGACUUAUCAGUUAAAAGGCUGAGAUAGUGUUAGAGGACGAGAAGACCCUAUAGAUCUUGAUAAAGAUAUUUAAAUUUUAUAGAUGAGGUAUAUAUUUAAAAAUUCUUUAUUUUGUUGGGGCGACAAGGAAAUAAAAUAACUUUCUUUAUUAAAACACUGAUUAGUGAUUAAAAGAUCCAUUAUUAAUGAUUAUAAGAAUAAGUUACCUUAGGGAUAACAGCAUAAUCUUCUUUGAGAGUUCUAAUCGACGAGAGGGGUUGUGACCUCGAUGUUGGACUAAGGGUAACUUCAGGUGUAGCAGUCUGGAGUCUGGGUCUGUUCGACCCAUAAAACCUUACAUGAUCUGAGUUCAAACCGGCGUGAGCCAGGUUGGUUUCUAUCCUUAAUAUAAAAAAUGAUUUAGUACGAAAGGACCAUUCAUUUAAGAUAAUCUUUAUAAAAGAAUAUUAUU